GAUGAACGCUGGCGGCGUGCCUAAUACAUGCAAGUCGAGCGAACGGACGAGAAGCUUGCUUCUCUGAUGUUAGCGGCGGACGGGUGAGUAACACGUGGAUAACCUACCUAUAAGACUGGGAUAACUUCGGGAAACCGGAGCUAAUACCGGAUAAUAUUUUGAACCGCAUGGUUCAAAAGUGAAAGACGGUCUUGCUGUCACUUAUAGAUGGAUCCGCGCUGCAUUAGCUAGUUGGUACGGUAACGGCUUACCAAGGCAACGAUGCAUAGCCGACCUGAGAGGGUGAUCGGCCACACUGGAACUGAGACACGGUCCAGACUCCUACGGGAGGCAGCAGUAGGGAAUAUUCCGCAAUGGGCGAAAGCCUGACGGAGCAACGCCGCGUGAGUGAUGAAGGUCUUCGGAUCGUAAAACUCUGUUAUUAGGGAAGAACAUAUGUGUAAGUAACUGUGCACAUCUUGACGGUACCUAAUCAGAAAGCCACGGCUAACUACGUG
rnacentral:rRNA from 1 species